GUCUAUGGCCAUGCCACCCUGAACAAGUCCAAUGUCCAAUCUCGGAAGUUAAGCAGGGUCAGGCCUGGUUAGUACUUGGAUGGGAGACCACCUAGGAAGACCAGGUGCUGUAGGCG
rnacentral:rRNA from 1 species